AUUGAACGCUGGCGGCAGGCCUAACACAUGCAAGUCGAGCGGAGCGACGGACGGGCGGGUAAUGCCUGUGAAUCUACCUGCUAGUGGGGGAUAACGUCCGGAAACGGGCGCUAAUACCGCAUGCUAUCAGUCAAGCCUAGGUGGGAUUAGCUAGUUGGUGGGGUAAAGGCCUACCAAGGCGACGGUCCGUAACUGGUCUGAGAGGAUGAUCAGUCACACUGGAACUGAGACACGGUCCAGACUCCUACGGGAGGCAGCAGUGGGGAAUAUUGGACAAUGGGCGAAAGCCUGAUGCAGCCAUGCCGCGUGUGUGAAGAAGGUCUUCGGAUUGUAAAGCACUUUAAGUUGGGAGGCGUUACCAACAGAAGAAGCACCGGCUAACUCCGUGCCAGCAGCCGCGGUAAUAC
rnacentral:rRNA from 1 species